rnacentral:rRNA from 1 species
AUGGCAAAUACUAGCAUCCUCCAAGUCUUCAUUGUUUUUAUCAUUGCGCAAGUCUGCUUACUCAUGAUGAUGGCAACACCGAUAGCGCAGGCAGCAGGCAGGCUUAUGGGAUACAAUCCAGUUUGCUGCCCUAGGGACAUCUACUGUUGUGGGUUUGGCAGUGUGAUGGCCAAUGGAACUGCAUCCUCCACCAAGCCUUGA